ensembl:lncRNA
CCCGGGUGCAGGCGGUGCAGGACAUGGAUGCAGCCAGCUGUGACAAGUUACGCACCCUGCACAAGGAAUGCAGGACCGCUGCCCUCUGUGUCACCGCAUGGAGCACUGCCUGCGUUCCAACAUGGCACCCAACUCCCCCAGAGGUAACACAGCUCCCGGCCAUGCACACACAGAACCAUGGGCAGGAAAUUCCCAUCUGCCUCCAAGUGGCCAGCUUCUUUCUCGGGCUCUGCACACAGCUCCACAUGGUUUCAUUUUCCUCACCAGCAACAAUAAAUCUGUUUGGGAGAGCGGCUGCUGGGGGGGGAUCUGAGGGCGGUGGGACAGCCCUGCAGCCCACGUGGGGUGGCUGUGCUGGCAGCUCACAAACAAACCCAGCUCUGUCCCAGGGCUCUGCAGAGUGGGGGCAUCGUGGGGCUCUGCUCCUUCCUGCCGCAUCCUCAGCUCUGGCAACAAGAAAUGAAUCUCUGUGGAGCUCAUGGCCCUACAGCUCUGGGAGGUGGCACUUCAAUAAAACUGAUAAAUAAAAGGAACUCGCUGAAAGAAGUUGCUGUGUUAAUGCAGCACAACUGUUCUGCCUCUUUCCUCCCACCCUCUGCCCCCCUGGGUGGAGGUGUAGUCUGAGUGUGCCCGAGGGCACAGACGGG